AGCAGCCGCGGUAAUUCCAGCUCCAAUAGCGUAUAUUAAAGUUGUUGCAGUUAAAAAGCUCGUAGUUGAAUUUCGGGAUCAAUUUAUUGGUCGUGCUAUUGUACGUACUGGUAUUAUUGAUUUCUACCUUCUGACGAACCAUGAUGUCAUUAAUUUGGUGUCUUGGGGAAUCAGGACUGUUACUUUGAAAAAAUUAGAGUGUUUAAGGCAGGCUCACGCUUGAAUACAUUAGCAUGGAAUAACGAAAUAGGACGUUUGAUUCUAUUUUGUUGGUUUCUAGGAUCGACGUAAUGAUUAAUAGGGAUAGUUGGGGGCAUUAGUAUUCAAUUGUCAGAGGUGAAAUUCUUGGAUUUAUUGAAGACUAACUACUGCGAAAGCAUUUGCCAAGGAUGUUUUCAUUAAUCAAGAACGAAAGUUAGGGGAUCGAAGACGAUCAGAUACCGUCGUAGU
rnacentral:rRNA from 1 species